rnacentral:rRNA from 1 species
UACGUAGGGGGCAAGCGUUGUCCGGAUUUAUUGGGCGUAAAGAGCGUGUAGGCGGCCAAGCAGGUCAGCUGUGAAAACUCGAGGCUCAACCUCGAGACGUCGGUUGAAACCGCUUGGCUAGAGUCCGGAAGAGGAGAGUGGAAUUCCCGGUGUAGCGGUGAAAUGCGCAGAUAUCGGGAAGAACACCCGUGGCGAAGGCGGGUCUCUGGGCCGGUACAGACGCUGAGGAGCGAAAGCGUGGGGAGCGAACAGG